CCACCCCCUGGCCUCCGCUACCGGGUGACCGGGCAUGCUGUUGCCGCCUGGCCUCCGCAAUCACUAUGAGCAUUUGUCCCCUGAGAUGGUACCCAAGAUGGGGGGCAAAAUUUGUGGGUCUGCGUCAUGGGCUACUUGUUUACUGUGGUCAACUUCAAGGCAAUUUACAGUGCAAAUUAAAAUCCACCAGUGGGUUUUGGUGGUGGUGUUUUUAUAUUUGCAUGCAGUAACAGAACCCUUGACAGCAAAAUAGUCAAAUGACAAAAGGGUCAUAUUAUUGGUUGAACUGGGCCCCUGAACUUUUCUGAAACACUUGUAUCUUCUAUUACCUGUAACACUGAAAGACAAGCCGAUUAAGUCUACACAGCAAGGUGUGUUUGGGUUUUGUGUAUCUUCUUCCAGCAAACUCAAGUGUAGGACAAUUUUAGCUGUUAUCCACCCUGCCUAGCUGCAGCCUACAAUUUGAAAAAGACAAGUGCUGGGAUACCUUGCUGGCCUCUCUUACCUUUAAAAAGUCUGUUAAUGACAAUGGGCUUAUCUCCAUGGAUGGAGCCUUUGCCACCUUCUAAACUGAAUCCUAAGCCGGCUGACGUCUUCUCCAAAGUAACUGUGAAGAUCAGGUCUUCAGAUGCUGGAUUGAAACAGAAGAUUAAUGGAAAGAUACUGUAAUAAAUCUUUAAGCACGCUAGACUUGGGAAGCAUAACCCAACCAAAUUCUCUUCUAACUCCCUCCUGCCCGGACAUACCGUAUUUUACGGACUAUAAGACGCUACGGACUAUAAGACGCACCUUAAUUUUAAUCCAGUUUUUCAGAGUUUUACCAUAUUAAACGGUUAAAACAUAUAAGACGCACCUGAAUUUGGGCGGAUAUUUUUCGAGGAAAAAAGUGAGUCUUAUAGUCCAUAAAAUACGGUAACUACUGCUAAAACAGAAGAGCUAUUUACACAUUAUGUUGUAUGUGCAUUCAAGAACUGGACAUACAUGUCUUUAUGUCAGUCAAUCAGCUUGUUUAGCCACAGCCAUUACAAAGUUAUUUGACUCAAAAUUAGGUAGUUAACAACAACAAGAUAAAGAAAGAUCUGCCGGACACUCAAAAACGCAAACGUUGACUCAGAGUAAUUCAGAGCACUUAGACAGAUUGUAUCCGCUACGGGCCAUCCCAUCCCUGAGGACCAGCUCACAAUCUGCAGCUUGGAGUGGUCCACUACACCGUGCCCAAAGGCAGGGCCGCCCUGGGUGAGCACAUCCUGUGCAUGCAAGACUGUUGGUUAUACAGUCAGCUCGCUUGUUGCUUUGUUAUAAAGUACUCACUGGAGUCUGUUGAACAUUCACUUUGCAGAGACACCGAAGACUCAAUGGAUCGACUGGGGCUUCUUUCUCCCUCUUGGGGUUUUCUCGUGACAAUAACUGCUUGCUUCGGGUGGCGAGCCUUCCGCAAGAUCUCCAGCGCAUCGCUGUCAACUCCCCCAGCUAGGCUGAACCCGAGGCCAGCACCUUCCUCUUUGUGCAGAAUUGUGACUUGAAUGUCACUAAGUUGCUGUACGAGGGAGAAAAAAAGGAGAAGAUUUUUGUCUGUGUGUCGGUAGAGUGCAGAGACUCAAUGGAAGGCAGAGAACUGGAUUUUUUAAAAUAUCGUAAUUGCAAAAAGGAGGGAAUUCCAGCAAGUGCAGCCUUUUCAGUUCUGCAGCACUAACGUGUCAAGCUUGAUCUGAGGAAAUUUGCUCUUCUGUACAACUAUUAAAGGAGCAGAAUCCCUGUGCCGCCCCCACUGUGCCCACCCUCCCCUUGCCAGUAGGCCAGGAGUUCUCAAGCAUGGCUCCCCAGCAGUAUUUGCUGGAGGAAGGAUACCCAGAAGUUGCUGGCAACAAUUCUCAUAAUCCCCAGCUGCAACUGUCAUUUGUAAAUGCUUGUCAUUUGCAGAUGCUGUUGACUACAAGUCAACAGCAUCUGUGAAUCCCUACCUUUGGCCAUUGUGGUUGUGGGGAUAAGGGGGCGUUGUGGUCCAAGAACAUCUGGAGGCCCAGAGUGGGGAAUCCCUGCUCCAUUGCAUCAGGUUACCUACCUCUCUCACCUACCUUUCCCCUGCUAACGAAGCAAAGAAGUGCCUUCUAAAAGUGGCAAUUCUCUUUAUUUAGCAGUGGGGGAGAGCACCUGGCCCUAUCCACUCCCAGCCCAGCAUCCCUCCAGUGGCUGUUGCUGAUAUCUAUCUUAUUUUUUUUUUUUUUAAAUACUGUGAGCCCUUUGGGGACAGGGAUCCACCUUAUUAUUUCUCUCUAUAAACUGCUUUGGAAACUUUUGUUGAAAAGCGCUAUUUGUAUUCUUUUCAAAAAUAAACCCCAAACAGAUAAAGCUGGAAUAGCCCCAUGUUGGUCAGGGCACAGCUCCCUUCUGGGUCCUGAUCAGCCAGAUGAAAGCCAAAGAGCCUAUUGGGAGAGGUGAAAGUGCAGAGGAGGAGAGGAAAGAAGACUGACCUUUAAUGUUGCUUCAUCCAACGACUUGACCUCUUCCAUCAGUUUCUCCAGUUCUUCAGGGGUGAGCAGAGAGAUGACUGCCUGGCCCGAGGAGGCACCCAAGGCUUGAGGAGGUCCUGUUUUCCUAACCAUGUUCUGAAAACCCUUGUAGGGAGGAAGUUGGCAGAAAAUGGCUUCAGAAUGAGACGCGGUGUAGAGCAUUCUCCAAUGUUUCUCUUUGAUUCAGAAGAACCCUGACUCUUUUUGCAUUUCAAAUUCUCUCUCAAAUUGCAGCCUCUCUUUCAGAUUUUACUUUGGAUAUUUUUUCGUUCCAACCCCAGUGUGCCUUGCUUAAUCUGGAGACGAUGUCCAAGGCUGAGUUCACAUGGAAUUUCCUCAUAUAUAGUCUCCCUCUGCCCC